UACGGAGGGAGCUAGCGUUGUUCGGAAUUACUGGGCGUAAAGCGCACGUAGGCGGCUUUGUAAGUUAGAGGUGAAAGCCCGGAGCUCAACUCCGGAAUUGCCUUUAAGACUGCAUCGCUAGAAUCCGGGAGAGGUGAGUGGAAUUCCGAGUGUAGAGGUGAAAUUCGUAGAUAUUCGGAAGAACACCAGUGGCGAAGGCGGCUCACUGGACCGGUAUUGACGCUGAGGUGCGAAAGCGUGGGGAGCAAACAGG
rnacentral:rRNA from 1 species